rnacentral:rRNA from 1 species
AUUGAACGCUGGCGGCAUGCCUUACACAUGCAAGUCGAACGGCAGCAUGGAGAGCUUGCUCUCUGAUGGCGAGUGGCGAACGGGUGAGUAAUGCAUCGGAACGUACCGUGUAAUGGGGGAUAACGUAGCGAAAGUUACGCUAAUACCGCAUACGACAUGAGGGUGAAAGCAGGGGAUCGCAAGACCUUGCGUUAUACGAGCGGCCGAUGUCAGAUUAGCUAGUUGGUGAGGUAAAGGCUCACCAAGGCGACGAUCUGUAGCGGGUCUGAGAGGAUGAUCCGCCACACUGGGACUGAGACACGGCCCAAACUCCUACGGGAGGCAGCAGUGGGGAAUUUUGGACAAUGGGGGCAACCCUGAUCCAGCCAUGCCGCGUGAGUGAAGAAGGCCUUCGGGUUGUAAAGCUCUUUCGGCCGGGAAGAAAUCGCACAGGCUAAUACUCUGUGUGGAUGACGGUACCGGCAUAAGAAGCACCGGCUAACUACGUGCCAGCAGCCGCCGUAA